rnacentral:rRNA from 1 species
CGCAGCUAAACUCAAAGGAAUUGACGGGGGCCCGCACAAGCGUGGAGCAUGUGCUAUUCGAGCACGCGAAGAACCUUACCUGGAUUUGACAUGGACCGGAAUCAGAUUAGAAUAGUUUGAGCCCGCAAGGGCUGUUCACAGGUGCUGCAUGGCUGUCGUCAGCUCGUGCCGUGAGGUGUUCGGUUAAGUCCGGCAACGAGCGCAACCCACGUUAGUAGUUGCCAGCAGGUAAAGCUGGGCACUCUACUGAUACUGCCCGUGUUAAGCGGGAGGAAGGAGUGGAUGAUGUCAAGUCCGUAUGGCCUUUAUAUCCAGGGCUGCACACGUGCUACAAUGGCUGCUACAGAGGGAAGCGAAAUCGCGAGAUGGAGCAGAUCCGUAAAAACAGCCCUAGUUCGGAUUGCAGGCUGCAACUCGCCUGCAUGAAGCCGGAAUCGCUAGUAAAGGCGUAUCAGCCACGACGCCUUGAAUACGUUCCCGGGCCUUGUACACACCGCCCGUCACAUCAUGGGAGUUGAUUGCACCCGAAGCUGCUGACCGAACCUGCAAAGGACGGAGGCAUCUAAGGUGUGGUUAAUGACUGGGAUG